UAUUUUCUAGGUUCCGGCAAGGAAAUUUGUAAGCCUUUGUAAAGGCUACGUUGUUUAAUUGUUAGGGGGAAUGCGAGAUUAUAAAAAUCACUUCCAGUUGAGAAGUUUUAUAAAGUGUGUUGUUGUUUUCGUUUACUGGGGUUUGGAACCAGUGAAUGCUUCUCCAUGUUUCAAUUAUAGUUCAUGCACUGCAAGAUUGUCCCAAGCCUCAUGAUCAUGCUGCUGUAAAUGUUGCUGAGAUGAGGAAGCAUUUGACAGCUUUGGUGAAAUUACUAACGAGUUAUCAUGACAGAAACUUGGAGGUCAAGGGGCUUUGGAUUUGUCAGCUACACUUUCUGAGAAAAAAUGCUAGUUGAGCUCUAUCUUGUAUGGACGGUCAGGAUCUUGGUGGGAGGUAUAUCCAUGUAAUUAAGCUAUGCCAUUGAAAGUCUUCCCCGAAUUGGUGGGAAUUUUGAGGGGUCUUAUUGAGUACUAGCAGUUUGUCCCUUGGACCAGUUCCCAUUAUGUCAAAUUAUAAUUCAGCUUCUACUGAAACAUAUUAUUAUUGGUGAAUGAACGCCAUAUAUUGUAAAACAAAUGUAUAUGCAUGUGUUUGUUUUAGUUCAAGGUUUGCAAAG